UACGUAGGGUGCAAGCGUUGUCCGGAAUUAUUGGGCGUAAAGAGCUCGUAGGCGGUCUGUCGCGUCUGCUGUGAAAACUCAGGGCUUAACCCUGAGCUUGCAGUGGGUACGGGCAGACUAGGGUGCGGUAGGGGAGACUGGAAUUCCUGGUGUAGCGGUGAAAUGCGCAGAUAUCAGGAGGAACACCGGUGGCGAAGGCGGUGAGCUGGGCAGUUGCUGACACUGGAGGCGCGACAGCGUGGGGAGCAAACAGG
rnacentral:rRNA from 1 species